rnacentral:lncRNA from 7 species
CCCACGCCCCUCCCCCUCUUGAUAAGCCCACGUCGGCGGCAGGGGGGGCGGCCGCCAGGCUUGCUAUAGCUGGUCCAUGGCACCAUACAUGUAAGCACGCACACAGGCACACACACACACGCACGCAAUGAUCUACGUAUCUAGCAGCAGCUUAUCAUGUCGUCAUCAUGCAUGCAUGGCCGACGGAGGUCGUCAUCUUAUCUGGGAGCGUGUGUGUCUUGGCAAUGGGAAGCUGCAUGCGCCUCUCGGGCGUCGGCGCGUCGGCGCCUAGCUGUAGGGCGGCGUGCCAUAGAGCUGCCUCCUGCCGCUCACACCAUGCUGUUGACGAGGACUGAUGGUGGCCAUGGCCUCUCGGCGUCGGUGGCGGCGGCGCCGGCGCCGAGUUUUACCUCUCUACUAAGGUAGGGCAACUUGUAUCCUUUGGCAAUUGUUCUCAUCUAUCUGGGUCUGUCUGUUGGCUGCCCGGUGACGGUAUACGGUGAUGUUCUAAUAGUACUCAAUUGGUCUUGGAUCGGAGUUCAUGCUACGGCUCCUCUGUUAUAUAUUACACGGCUGACGGCUCCUUAUUAAUGUGUACGUUGAUGAUGUCAUUAAUAAUAUGAAUCUGAUAUUG